rnacentral:rRNA from 1 species
AUCUCUGUAGAGUCUGCAUAUCAAUAAGCGGAGGAAAAGAAACUAACAAGGAUUCCCUUAGUAACGGCGAGUGAAGCGGGAAGAGCUCAAAUUUGAAAUCUUCAAGGUUCUACCUUGACGAAUUGUAGUUUAUAAGAAGUGUUUUCUGUUAGUAGAGGUGGCUAAAAGUUCUUUGGAAUAGGACAUCAUAGAGGGUGAGAAUCCCGUAUUUGGUCAUUCUUUCUAGCUUUGUGAUACACUUUCAACGAGUCGGAUUGUUUGGGAAUGCAGUCCAAAAUGGGUGGUAAAUUUCAUCUAAAGCUAAAUAUUGGCGAGAGACCGAUAGCGAACAAGUACCGUGAGGGAAAGAUGAAAAGAACUUUGAAAAGAGAGUUAAACAGUACGUGAAAUUGUCAAAAGGGAAGCGUUUGACACCAGUGUUGUUUUUCCGAAAAUCAAUUACGAAUGUUUUGUUUUUGAGAAGUUAUGACUUCAUCGGCUUGCUUCUUUCUUUACGAAACUUUCUUAAUGCACUUUUCGGUUAACAAGUCAACAUCAAUUUCUUUUGUUGUAAAAGGGUACGAGGAAGGUGGCUUUCUUUUCGGAGAAAGUGUUUAUAGCCUUGUGCCUCUGCAAUCGGAGAGAUUGAGGUCUGCAGCGUAGAUCCUUCGGGGUUAGAUACAUUUGUGCUAAGUUAUAGCUUUUCAUAGACAACUUGUUGACUAUGUUUAGUCUUGUAGCUUACUCGCUUAUGCUAUUUUACCUACGCUUAGGAUGUUGGUAGCGACAUACGCAC